UAGUUGCUAUGAUAUUGGUCCGGUUCACUCAGAUCACUACCCUAAAUUGACUAGGGUUUCAUUUGAAGUUUAAAUUGAGUCUGAUUGAGCCGCGCCAAUAUCUCAGUGCUCUUU
rfam:Cucumis melo, WGS project CAJI01000000 data, contig: 09180